rnacentral:sRNA from 1 species
CGAUCUGCUGCGGGCAGAUGAAGUGAAUGUGAGAGUCGAAACCGCCGGCGGUCACGAUCUUUCCCUCGCCGGCGAUGAUCUCCGUGCCGGGUCCAAUGAUGAUAUCGACAUCGGGUUGCACAUCCGGAUUGCCCGCCUUGCCGAUCCGUGCAAUCCGCCCGUCCUUGAGACCGAUAUCGGCCUUCACGAUGCCUGAGUGGUCGAGGACCACUGCGUUGGUGAUGACGGUAUCGACCGCACCGGACGCCCGGGUUGCCGGCCCCUGUCCCAUUCCGUCGCG